UGUAUUAAUGAUUGUUUACAAUGAAACUAGGGAUGUGAACAUGAUGAAGUCUACAGUCAUUUCAACUCUGUGAUCUGAGGGAAAUACUCUCAUCCUGUGUCUCUGAUUUAUACUGUCAUGUCUUGUGUUUUCCUUGUCUGUUUUUCUUUCGUUAUACAGACACAGAUAUUAUAGACUGACUAGCGUUUAGUUUUACAUUCUAUAAAUUAUAUUGUACUCAAUGUAGAUCUCUGCAGUUGUAUAGGCUGUACGUGUAUUUUUAAAUGAUCAAAUAAAUUCUAUGACUCAAUUAGUAUUGAGUUUGUGUGUUGGGAGGGUGCUGUUGGACAUUUACUGGUGUUGUUGGGGUGUUGUUGGAAGUUGUGCCAGGCAAUCUUUCCCAUCUUCACUUUGCCUCUUUCACUUUCUUUCUUACCGGGUGUGAUGAUGCAAUAGAUAUACUGCCUUGGCCUUCAUAGCGGUCAAGGGAUUUUAUUUGAUCUUAUCUGAUUUUGUGUGUAGGCCGAGACUGGAUUCUAUCCCCCAAAAUGUUAUUCCUCUGUGUGUUAUAUUAUUGUAGAGGUACAAAAUCUUUCAUUUUAGUUUUUAUAUGGCUGUAUAAAAAUGACAGUUUAUCACACUUCAGCCAAGAGGGGAAUUUAAUCUGUGAUGUGGGAGAGGGAAUUACCACUCUGCCAUCUGGAGUUUUACUACAUUUUACCACCACUGUAUUCCAUGGAACUUAGAGCUGAUUUAUUAUUCAUUCUAUCCACUCUAUUAGCCUCUGUCAAAUGCACUUUAAACUGUAAUACAUCUGUUCUGUGAUAUCCUCCAGCAUAUUGGAGAAUAUUCUAGAAUCUGACCCUUUCUACCCCUCUAUCUCUCUGGCCCCAUCUAACCAUGCCCUUUCAGGUAACAGGUGAACAGAUAGAUAGAGGGACAGUCACUCAGCUUAUCUGUAACAGUGCCCACCUGCUCACGAGUUUCUUUCGCAUUUCUCUCUCUCACACACACACACACACACACACACACGAGAGAAGAAUCAUGUCUGUGGAAGUCCACAUAGAAUAUUGUAGUGGAUGAGGGUACGAGUCUCGCUAUCAGGACCUAGCAUCUGCCAUCAAGCGGAAUGUUCCUGAUGCGACGGUGACGGGAACCAUGGGGCGGCGCUGUAAGUUACACACACAGCUUAAAGUUACCCUGUCAGAUAGUGACGUCACAGCUGUGCUUUACACACAGAACGACGUUACAGAUCCCAUCGGACUUCAACUGACUACACUCUGAUGGUCCAUCCAUUAGAUUUGAUCAAUACCUCAGUAGAUUAUUAUGUUCUAUUCUAUAUUCUGGGGACCCCCUGAGUGAACUUUUUUUGUUGUCCCAGCACUACACAGCUGAUUCAAAUAAUCAAAGCUUGUUGAUGAGUUGGUUAUAUGAAUCAGCUGUGUAGUGCUAAUGCAAACAUCAAAACGUGCACCCAGGGGGGGCCCCAGGACCGGGUUUGGGAAACCCUGCUCCAGUAGAUGAGUGGAGAGCAAGAGGUAGAAAGGAGGAUAAAAGGGGACAGGGGGAGAGGAGGAGGACAGUGUUUUAUAAGAUCUUGGGUCCUGACCUGAUUCUAUUAUGAUUGUUCACAUUGAAACUAGGGAUGUGAACAUGGAGACUAGAGUUUGUUGUAUUUAACUAGGCACGUCAGUUAAGAACCAAUUCUUAUCUACAAUGACGGCCUACCCCAGCCAAACCAGGACGAUGCUGGACCAAUUGUGCACCGCCCUAUGGGACUCCCAAUCACGGCCGGUUGUGAUACAGCAUGGAAUCUAACCAGGGUCUGUAGUGACGCCUCUAGCACUGAGAUGCAGUGCCUUAGACCGCUGCACCACCCGGGAGUCCCCAGAGUCAUUUCAACGGUCCGUGAUUUAAGGAAAAUACUCUCAUCCUGUCUGGUUUAUACUGUUAUGUUGUUAUUCCUAUGUUUUUCUUUCAUGAUACAGGCAGGGAUAUUAUAUUAGCAUUUAGAUUUAUAUUCUAUAAGUUAUAUUCUACUCAAUACAGAUCUCUGCAGUUGUACAUGUAUUUUUAAAUGAUCAAAUAAAUGAAAUCAAUCA